rnacentral:tRNA from 2 species
GGGGAUGUAGCUUAAUGGUAAAGCUUCGGUCUUCCAAACCGACGACGCGGGUUCGAUUCCCGUCAUCCCCUCCA